UACGUAGGUGGCGAACGUUGUCCGGAUUUACUGGGCGUAAAGCGCGCGCAGGCGGACCGAUAAGUCAGAGGUGAAAUCUCCCGGCUCAACUGGGAGGGGCCCUUUGAUACUGUCGGUCUUGAGAUGCCUAGAGGAGAGUGGAAUUCCCGGUGUAGUGGUGGAAUGCGUAGAUAUCGGUAGGAACACCAGUGGCGAAAGCGGCUCUCUGGGGGCGAUCUGACGCUGAGGCGCGAAAGCGUGGGGAGCAAACAGG
rnacentral:misc_RNA from 1 species